UACGUAGGUGGCAAGCGUUGUCCGGAAUUAUUGGGCGUAAAGCGCGCGCAGGUGGUUCUUUAAGUCUGAUGUGAAAGCCCCCGGCUCAACCGGGGAGGGUCAUUGGAAACUGGGGAACUUGAGUGCAGAAGAGGAAAGUGGAAUUCUACGUGUAGCGGUGAAAUGCGUAGAGAUGUGGAGGAACACCAGUGGCGAAGGCGACUUUCUGGUCUGUAACUGACACUGAGGCGCGAAAGCGUGGGGAGCGAACAGG
rnacentral:rRNA from 1 species